rnacentral:rRNA from 1 species
GAUGAACGCUGACAGAAUGCUUAACACAUGCAAGUCUACUUGAUUUAUGGUUUCGGCCGUAAUGAUGGUGGCGGACGGGUGAGUAACGCGUAAAGAAUCUGCCCUUUAGACUGGGAUAACAGUUGGAAACGACUGCUAAUACCGGAUAUUAUGGAACCAUCGCAUGAUGGAAUCAUGAAAGCUAUAUGCGCUAGAGGAGGACUUUGCGUCCCAUUAGCUAGUUGGUGAGGUAACGGCUCACCAAGGCGACGAUGGGUAGCCGGCCUGAGAGGGUGAUCGGCCACAAGGGGACUGAGACACGGUCCUUACUCCUACGGGAGGCAGCAGUGGGGAAUAUUGGACAAUGGGCCACAAGCCUGAUCCAGCAAUUCUGUGUGCACGAUGAAGGUCUUCGGAUUGUAAAGUGCUUUCAGUAGGGAAGAAUAAAUGACGGUACCUACAGAAGAAGCGACGGCUAAAUAUGUGCCAGCAGCCGCCGUAACAC